GACGAACGCUGGCGGCGUGCCUAAUACAUGCAAGUCGAACGCAGUGGGGACGGGUGAGUAACACGUGGGUAACCUCCCAUCAGAGGGGAUAACACUUGGAAACAGGUGCUAAACCGAUACUGAUGGAUGGACCCGCGGUGCAUUAGCUAGUUGGUGGGGUAACGGCGCACCAAGGCCACGAUGCAUAGCCCACCUGAGAGGUGGUACGCCCAAACUGGGACUUGGCCACGGCCCAGACUCCUAAGGGAGGCAGAAGUAGGAAAUUUUGGGAAAUGGACGAAAGUCGGACUGAGAAACGCCGCGUGAGUGAAAAAGUUUUUCGGAUCGUAAAACUCUGUUGUUAGAAAAGGGGAUUCUAACCAGAAAGCCACGGCUAACUACGUGCCAGCAGCCGCGGUAAUAC
rnacentral:rRNA from 1 species